ACGGUCAGAUCACGUUGAAACAGUGGUCCCCGUACAAUCACCGAAAUUAAGCAACGUUGAGCCUGGUCAGUACCUAGAUGAGUGACUGCUUGGAAGUACCAGAUGUUGUA